rnacentral:misc_RNA from 1 species
GAUGAAGAACGUAGCGAAAUGCGAUAAGUAAUGUGAAUUGCAGAAUUCAGUGAAUCAUCGAAUCUUUGAACGCACAUUGCGCCCGCCAGUAUUCUGGCGGGCAUGCCUGUUCGAGCGUCAUUACAACCCUCAGGCCCCCGGGCCUGGCGUUGGGGAUCGGCGGAAGCCCCCUGCGGGCACAACGCCGUCCCCCAAAUACAGUGGCGGUCCCGCCGCAGCUUCCUCUGCGUAGUAGCACACCUCGCACUGGGAAACAGCGCGGCCACGCCGUUAAACCCCCAACUUCUGAACGUUUGACCUCGGAUCAGGUAGGAAUACCCGCUGAACUUAAGCAUAUCAAUAAGCGGAGGA